AGUGAACGCUGGCGGUAGGCCUAACACAUGCAAGUCGAACGGCAGCACAGUAAGAGCUUGCUCUUACGGGUGGCGAGUGGCGGACGGGUGAGGAAUACAUCGGAAUCUACUUUUUCGUGGGGGAUAACGUAGGGAAACUUACGCUAAUACCGCAUACGACCUACGGGUGAAAGCAGGGGAUCUUCGGACCUUGCGCGAUUGAAUGAGCCGAUGUCGGAUUAGCUAGUUGGCGGGGUAAAGGCCCACCAAGGCGACGAUCCGUAGCUGGUCUGAGAGGAUGAUCAGCCACACUGGAACUGAGACACGGACCAGACGCCUACGGGAGGCAGCAGUGGGGAAUAUUGGACAAUGGGCGCAAGCCUGAUCCAGCCAGACCGCGUGGGUGAAGAAGGCCUUCGGGUUGUAAAGCCCUUUUGUUGGGAAAGAAAAGCAGCAGGUUAAUACCCCGCUGUUCUGACGGUACCCAAAGAAUAAGCACCGGCUAACUUCGUG
rnacentral:rRNA from 1 species